GCACUGGUACAAUGGUAGAAGUCUCUCUUUCCACGUGAGAGACCUGGGUUCAAUUCCCAGCCAGUGCC
rnacentral:tRNA from 1 species